rnacentral:lncRNA from 1 species
CACUAUUCUUGACUUUUCAACAUUAUUUUCCUCCACUUGCUCCACUUGUUCUAAAUUGGAAAUACAUGUGAAAUACAUCAAAUAGAUACUCUUUCAAAUGUAUAAUACUCAUGCCGACAUGUAUGUAAAUACGUAUUUCAAUUAAUUGCAUUUUUAACCAUGUAUUUAUGGAAAUUGAAUUUACGGCAAGAGAAUUGAAAUUAGAGACUAACAUUAGUAUUUUUAAACAAAGUGA